rfam:Nelumbo nucifera unplaced genomic scaffold scaffold00035, whole genome shotgun sequence
UAUAUGGACCUUUUUAGGUCCAACUUCAAAUGAAAAUAAUAAAUGU